ACGUCUCAUGAACCUGGGUUGUGCCACUGGUCACCCCAGUUUUGUGAUGUCCUGCUCAUUCACCAACCAGGUGAUUGCUCAGCUUGAGCUGUGGAACGAGAAGACAUCCGGCAAGUAUGAGAAGAAGGUCUAUGUUUUGCCCAAGCACCUUGAUGAGAAGGUUGCUUCCCUUCACCUUGGCAAGCUUGGAGCCAGGCUCACCAAGCUCUCCAAGGACCAGGCAGACUACAUCAACGUUCCAGUUGAGGGUCCCUACAAGCCUGCUCAGUACAGGUACUGAGAGAUGGAAUUUGAGGAAAGACCAUCUGUUUGGACGGCGCUAUUGUUUCUUUUGUAUCUUGCUGAUGAUUUGUCUUAGAAUAUCAG
rnacentral:lncRNA from 1 species